GCUGCUGGUGGGGAGCUGCCCUUUGCUUCGUGCCUCCCUUCCGACUGCCUGGCGAGCUCAGCCAAACACCAUUAAAGGUUUAUCCACACGCUGAUCGACUUAUCUGCCUCCAGAGCCGGAGCCAGAGCGGUCUCCAAGGGGAGAGGUGGUGGAUGUGGCACCAUCUUCCAAAGCAACAGAGGAUGAGCAGGUGCUCCGAGAGAUUGGCCAGGACACUCUGGGAAGAAAUGGUGAUGCCUUCAAAGUGGAGAACGGGUUGAUAAGGGGGGAAUGGGGAGAGACAUUUCAGCUCCUACUGGUCUCUUCAGCGCUCAGGAGUGUUUGGUCUGGUUCCAAGGCUUCUGGAGGAGUUUGAGAGGUCCCUCGACAGAGCUGCAGCCCUCUGCAAGGCAGACACCACAUCCCUUUUGUUCGGAGGAGCGCGGAAACGGGAACGCGUCAGCAGAGAAAGGCAGAUCAACGCCAAGCAUCUGGAAGCCGAAGACUGAGAAAACCCAAUUAAAAAUCAGGCAAUGCUGCGAGUGGAGCAAGCCAUGAAGUGAUGGAUUAUUCAUUCCACGAUGUCUUCAACACAAGAGAGGGGCAGAACGAUCGAUCCUUCCAGGACUUCCACACUGUUGGUUGAUGAUGAACACUCCAUCCCAACUUUUGGGAGAGCCAGGCCCUGACUUGGCAAACUGCAAAGUUCCCAUGGAUGAUGGAGGACAAUCCACCAGCCCUACUAGGGUGAAGCCACCCUGGGGCACGGAGCCCCCAGUAAAGCAGAACUGGAAGAAGAACAAAGUCAACCCAGGCCACCCCAGCUGAAGUAUGUGGGAAACACAAGCUGUAACUGCAGUGGAAGUUUCCCCUGGCCAAAAACAGGAACAGAAUUUGGGCUGAAGUGCGUGGAUUUGCAGAAAAACAAAAA